CGCAGUCGAUUUCCAUCGGAAUGUGAUUCAUCUGGGUGACCCACACAAACCAGUGACUCUCCAGAAACCUUCAAAAGGGAACGGGCAAAAAGGGCGACAAUCGAUAUUGCAGAUCGGGAGAGCGGAAAACGUUUUUCACUGUAAUGAAAUGUUUUCCUAAAACUAAUGCUGACUGUGGGACUAACUGCCAUCCUCUGGUACCAGCCGAUGUUCAGGCCACGCAGUCUUCCGCACUGGGAGAAGUGAUUUCUAGUGCUUGAGCAGCAAUCAGCUAAUGGCUCUGAGGAGGCAACACCCUUGGCCAUCACCGUGCAGAACAGAUGGGUGCAUGAGGGAUGACGCGGUUCUGCGUAUCACCAAGAGAGAUGAUUCUGCACCAGAGGAAGCUGAUUCAAGCAGAAGGACACCCCAAGACGCUGAAGUAACGAGCAGUAAUUUAUCCAAAGUUCCAGGUGCCUGAAGACCGGGGAUGUGGGAGUUUCAGGAUGAAACGUGGGUACAGAAUAUGCAGCGUUAAAGCGCAAGAAACCCCCCUGAAAGAUUUCCACUGUUGAUCAACGCGUUUCACCUAGGAUGCUCAGAAUGAAUUGCGGCCAGAUCAGAAGAUUGAGUGAAAGAGCAUCUCUUAUCUCCCCUCGGAUUUUCGGUGAGCCUCGAUAGCUUAGGGAGCUGGGUCACAGCUAGAUCGUGACAAUAAGGAGAAAUGGAGACGGGAGCAGUGGAGGUAAAAGAGCCAGAACACUAAGAAGAAAUGCUGUUGGAAGAGGUCUGGCUUUACCCAGUCCAUUGUCUUCCAGCAAAGAUUGACUCUUUGUUAAUGCCACCGGUUGCAGCAGGAUGCUCAGCAGUGUGUAAGGGCAGCUGGGUUUCCCUUGCGGUCUUUAUCACAAAGACAUCCUUCUUGCCUCUCCGAGACCCACUGAGACCCUGCGUAUGGCAACGGCAGGAGAACCAACCACUGCUGACAACUGGCAGCUUGUAGCCGGACACGGAAACCUCCACUGCUUGGGAGGGCGAUGAUUCAAGUAGCCUCCACAAUGUCUUAUCUCAGGCUGAAUUGUCUACUGAGGGGAAAAGAAACAGAGCCACAGAUUUUAUAUCAGAAGAAGCUUUGUAAGUAAUUCCAAGGACUGUUGUGUAAUUUUGCCCGGGAGAAUCCGUUAACGAGGUGUGAACAUCCCUUAUAGCUUCUGGUCCUGCUGAAAUCAGAGGAGGCAUAUGAGGGGAGCAAGACUGCAGUUUAUCAAGCUCAGUGAUGCAUUUUGGCUACUGUUCAGACCCCUUAAAACAGGUUUCCGAAGGUUUUACUUGUGUAGGAAGUUAGACUUUCUUUUUUUUUUUAUGUGGUAUAUGAGUAAAAGAAAACUGACCAGUGACUCCCUGUAUUCAUGAUGAAAAAUCAGCUAAAAUUUAGGAUAACUGUUCUUUUGUGCAAUAGAUAAUCAGAAAAAAAUAGAAAUCGAAAUAAUUACUGCACCGUUCCGAAUGUGAUGGUUACAUUUAAAAAGACGCUAAACAUAAUUUAUUAAUGUCUUUUCUGUUUAUGUUUGUGAGAUGGUCAGCAGUCAACAUACAAAGUAACUUCAUUUUUGCUGAGAUCAGGAGAGAGCCUUGUCUUUCAUGGACGACGGUGCAAAUGUGCAGAAGCAGGGGUGCCGCACUCAGUGCAGUAGCUGCAGCAUUGCUAAAGGGAAGGGAAUAAAAGGUGUUCGAUCCAGUGUUUUGCAGGCAUAGAAUUCCAAGCUAGAAAGAUGGGAGGUGGCAAUCAGGUGAUGUUCAGAGCAAGAAGGGAUGCAGUCUGGUGGGUCUUCGUUUCUAUGGUUACCUUCAACCGGAAUUGCUGUAACUAGGUCAGAUCGGAAGGUGUGAGUGAAAACAAAGAAAUUGGGAAUCCGUAAUGAGGGUUCAGAGAGAAGACUGUUGCUGCUGGGGAAAGCAAGAAGGGAGCUGGAUGCGGAGAGAGGCAUUUUAAUGUACAUUUGAAAUGUAUAUGUAUGAUGUAUGAAGUCCCGCACAGAGGGAUCUGUGUUUUAGCAUCAUUCGCUCUUCUAGCAUUAUUCAGCACCCUAUUGUAUGAAGAAUCAGCCGCAGACCGCCAUCAAGCAGACAGAUAAUGUGAUAUACCUGCCGUGACACCAUUCCUCCCACUGGCUGCACGUCCUGGCAGAAGCUGUAGAGAUGGAAGAGCGCAAGGGUUUUGCUGGAAAGGGGAAACAAACCCAAGGGGAGGGAAGAUGAGGCAUCCUCAGUCCAGAAAUGAGGAGAAACAGGUUGUAAAAGUGAUCUGAAAAGAAGCAGCGUGGGUGCGGAUUGCACUGCAGAGCCUAUGCACCGUUCCUCCAUUGAUGUCUUGGGUCCUUGGCCUUUUCUGCUUGCUCCAAACCCUAAAUCUGGUUCAUGAUAUAAUUUUCCAGGCUGUGUCUUUAUCUGGCAUAUAACAUGGACCACCACGCCUCUGUCCUUUCCAUCCAGGACCAGCCGCUUGGUGUGUUGGUCCCUUUCCCACGUUUCUUACCUCCCCAGCGCAGGACUGGGCGUUUGCUGGUGCUGAGCUCUGUGAUGUUGGAUUCAAACUUGAAAAGGGCAGGUUUAGCUUAGAUAUUGGGAAGAAAUUCUUGGCUGUGAGGGUGGUGAGCCCCUGGCCCAGGUUGCCGAGAGAAGCUGUGGCUGCCCCAUCCCUGGAGGGCUUCAAGGGCAGGUUGGACGGGGCUUGGAGCAACCUGGGCUGGUGGGAGGUGUCCCUGCCCAGGGCAGGGGGUUGGAACUGGAUGGGCUUUAAGGUCCCUUCCAACCCAAACUGUUCUGUGAUUCCAUGUCCUCAUCAGCCUGCCCCCUCUUUCCUACCCUCCGGCACCCCAACUGCUGCCCCCAGUUUGAUACCAUCAGCAAAUCUAUAUAAAGGUGCGUUUAUCCCAUUCCCCUGGUUGGAAGGUGAGGCAUUUAAAUAGCCCUGGCACCAGCGUCGAUGCUUUGAGGAAUGCAUCUUGUAACCGGCUACUUUUUGAGGGAGACAAGAUGAUGAGGUCUAUAGGGAGCCCUCAAAUAUGCCCGAAAUAAUUCCAUCCUGUGCCUAUGGCUGCACCAACGGGAUGUCACGGCCUGUAACUUAUCACGGCCGGAGAUGCCAGGCAGCUGCCUGUUGCGGGGGCCCCGAUUUUCCUCCUUUUCAGUGAUUUCCAUCACCAAACCGCAGCCCAGCCGCAUCCCCGGGGGACGCCGCAUCCCCGGGAGCGCGGCGGCCCC